UGCAGCAUGAAAACAGAGAGGACGGGGUUACAGAGCCACCUGCAGUGAUUGAAUGACUGCCCAAACACCUCCCAGUGACUCAGAGCAGACGAAGGGAGGAAGAUGAGUCAUGUAGAAUGAGGGCAAGAGAAGGACACGCCCCCUACAGAGCACAGAAUGACAAACCAAGUGAGCAACAGAUAGAAGCUAUGUUCUACAUUUUAUGAUGAUGAAGACAGCUUUGGACGUGAUCUCUACCUUCUCUACCAGUGCUGGUACAAAGAUGGAGGACAUUGUAAUGAAGCAUAGAUGGCAGAUCUAUAGGAAAAAAAAUCACUAGUUCAGGGCUUUAUAAUUAUGGUGAGACCCUCUACGAACAGGACUCCGGUGCAACAGCACAGUUUGCACGUAUGGGUAUUGAACUACGAUGGAGAGUUCCUGUUUGCGGAUAACCUGUUGGUUCCUGAGUCCCCGUUGGGACGAAAUUUAACUUCCGGUCAUCCCUGUUGGAGUGUCAUUGGUGGCGAUGUUCCACAA